CAUUUUUCACAGACAGGAUAAUCAAACUGGAAUAAAACCUAUUUUGUGAACUGAGUGAGAAUAUGCACAGGUGAAAAAUGCAGCUCUUACUCCAAGUCUCUGUGUGAACCCAAUCCAGAGGGAAUAUUUUGGGACCAUUUCCUGUGUUUUGGACAGAAUAGAAGCCCUGGUUAAAUGAAGAGAGAAAUGUAGCCACCCCUUCUGACCCAAGAGGAGGGAAAAAAAUUUUCUUCAGUUUUACAGCCUAGGAUAUUCGUAUGCCAAGUUUGCAGUCCUGAUCAAUGGGAGAGUCUUGCUCAUCUAUCAAGCUCCAGCUCUUUCCCUGACAAUGCCUCAGGCCCUGUUAUCUGCUGCUGCCUUUCUGCAGACUCACACCAUCACCUGGAACCUGCUGAGUGCCAUCAAGUGAAAGAACAGUGA
rnacentral:lncRNA from 1 species